rnacentral:rRNA from 1 species
UACGUAGGGUGCAAGCGUUAAUCGGAAUUACUGGGCGUAAAGCGUGCGCAGGCGGUUCUAUAAGACAGAUGUGAAAUCCCCGGGCUCAACCUGGGAACUGCAUUUGUGACUGUAGAGCUGGAGUACGGUAGAGGGGGAUGGAAUUCCGCGUGUAGCAGUGAAAUGCGUAGAUAUGCGGAGGAACACCGAUGGCGAAGGCAAUCCCCUGGACCUGUACUGACGCUCAGGCACGAAAGCGUGGGGAGCAAACAGG